UAUGUAGUACAGCAAGGCAAAAAAAAAAAAAAAAGACACUUCAAAGCUCAUUCUGAAUUCUAGAGGUGUCCCAUGGUGCAUCUAAAUGGAAAUCUCAGAAGGCAAAAGAGCCGUCACGUAAUCCCCAAGAUGCACAUCCAGGAUGUACUUGUUUCCUUAUUGUCAAAAUGAUUUGCAAAUAAAUCUUAUUUUAUACUACUUUGACACAUCUUGUUUGUGUGGAUUUUUUUUGUCCCUUUGAAUGCAUUUCUGGGUGUAAAAUGGAACUUCACAGUGGUGCACAUUCACGUACAGAUGCAGAUUACUGCUCAAUGACACAAUUAAAGCAUCAAAGCUAGCUAAGUAUGUUUACUGCUUACUUCCUUGCCCAAGUAAGGAUGACAGCUAACUGGCUUGCUAAACACACCCGCUUCGUGUUGAAACAUUGACUCAGUGGGUCUCUCCUGUCUCUAGUCCACUCAAAAAUGAGGAGAAAAUCAGAAUUGACUUCGUUCCCUCUGUUUCUAAGCUUCCUUAUGUGCUUCAGCACGUGCCUGCGGUCUGGGGUAGAAACAGAUUGUGGUGCCACUAGCCGUGGGGAAACUGCCUGCAGCUUCUGCUUGGUGUCUCGCACUAGAAGGCCUCCCACUGUCACACCCCUGCUCAGCGUCCUGCCAGGUGAAGUUGCUGUCCUGUGGACUGCAGGCUGUCACCACCAGGGGAGAAAGCCAGUCCUGCAGCUGAAGCUCCAGGCUCUAGAUCCCAGCAUUUUGUAACGUUAACCUUCCUCCAAGAGUCAGGUGCCAGAAAUUCCGACUCUCUGGCAAAAUAAUUCCCCCAGUGUUUCACUAGCAAGUGAAAUACGAACGCCAGCUCCAAGCCUCCCAUUGCUCGUGUACCUGCCCUGUGCUGUCACGCUGCAUCCUGCAGCCGCUGGCUAACAGCUCCCAAAAUCAGGCAUUAUUUACCAGAACCUUGCGGCUUUUUCUCCUCCUUCAAAUACGGAGCACAUUCAGAAACACACAGGAAAGAGCUGAAAAAUUGUGAUCGCCUCCAAGCCUGGAAGGAGAGCCGUGUUAUUUAAGGAGUUCAAUCCUGGGAGCAAAUUUCGGUGGCUGCUCCUCUGAGAGUUGACCUGAAUCUGUAAACACUUGACCCAAAUCCAACGAGGGAAGAAAAAGAGCCUUCAGCCUGUCCUCGCGGCUUGCUUCCCACCUCUCCAAAACAAACAGACCACGAUGGUUUGGCUUAGCAAAAAUGUUGAAACAAAUUGCAUUUGCUAUAAGUCACAGCGCUAUUUCAGAAGUGAAAGCUGCAGUAUUCCUUCCAAAGCACGCUGAUUCUUUACAUAUAAAAACAAACCACCCGGCCGGGUCCUGCUGGUCCGCGCACUGAGCUCCCAGACCUCUCCUCUCUUAAGCCCUAUGUGGCUCCUGCCUCGUCUUCUCCACCUCCUUACUCUGGUCCCACGACAUACUCGUGCCCAGUGAAUACAUUCACUUGGCUCUUUUUUCCUGCUUGGUUUAUGUACUUGCUGUGUUUCUUCAUCAGAGAGACACUGGAUAUCCUGCAAAAAAAAUCCUUUUUAUUAAGUCAAUAUUGUAUUAAAUGCAAACUCUGCUAGUUUUGGUUAAUUGCUAAAUUCUUCAGUUUUCUCCUGUGCUGUGAGUAGCCGUGAUGCCUGGCAUCCCAGCGGCUCAGCUGGUGACAGAAAUAAAGCAAGCAGAGCGCCAGGCAGUCACGACAGAGAGAGGACAGGUCGCUACAGAUUUUGGGGAGUGGGUUUUCUGUGGGCACCCAAUGGCUCUCCCCCAAAAGGGCUUUCCAUGAAACCAGGCUGAUAGAGACAAUGGGAAAAGGGAGUAGGAACAGCUCAAGACUUCAGUGCUUUGUUUUCAUGCUCAUUUUCUGGCUUUGGCCCCUCUUAUGUCUGGUAGGGGCUGCACAAGCUCUGAAGGAAGCAGUUCAGA
rnacentral:lncRNA from 1 species